rnacentral:pre_miRNA from 1 species
UGCUUUCUGAACCCGUGUUAAGUUUUCGUCAGAUAUCAAUCCGCCACAAUCGAUGAAAUUUCCAAGAUAAGUGAAGCA